rnacentral:rRNA from 1 species
CUGCGGAAGGAUCAUUACAGAGAUCAUGCCCUUCGGGGUAGACCUCCCACCCUGUGUUAUUUACUCUUUGUUGCUUUGGCAGGCCGCCUUCGGGCUCCCGGCUUCGGCUGGGGCGCGCCUGCCAGAGGACCCCAUAUUCUAUGUUUACAGUGUCGUCUGAGCAUUAUAAAAUAAGUUAAAACUUUCAACAACGGAUCUCUUGGUUCUGGCAUCGAUGAAGAACGCAGCGAAAUGCGAUAAGUAAUGUGAAUUGCAGAAUUCAGUGAAUCAUCGAAUCUUUGAACGCACAUUGCGCCCCUUGGUAUUCCGGGGGGCAUGCCUGUUCGAGCGUCAUUUCAACCCUCAAGCUUUGCUUGGUCUUGGGCUCUGCCGGCAACGGCUGGCCUUAAAAUCAGUGGCGGCGCCAUCGAGCUCUACGCGUAGUAAUUCUACCCUCGCGUGUGAGUCCCGGUGGAUGCUGGCCAGCAACCCCCAAUUUUUUUAUGGUUGACCUCGAAUCAGGUAGGGAUACCCGCUGAACUUAAGCAUAUCAAAA